rnacentral:sRNA from 1 species
UUUUAGUCCUGAUAGUAGUGAAAAUCCUUUUUAUUAGAAAAUUAGUUCAGGCCACUGAAUUAAUUUUAUGAUUAAAAGAUUGUAACGGAUAGCAGGAUUAGCU